rnacentral:ncRNA from 1 species
UAAAAGUAGAGGUGCGGUGUUCAUCAGUAGUUUGCGUGCAAGCCGUCGCAGGGCGUUGCGUGAGCGAAAGGGGAGGCUGCCGAAGAGCCUGAGGCGCAAGGGUAUCUGGCUUGGCAGAGAACAUCUGCCCGGUUGUCACUUAAACUAAGUGGAGGGCUACUGCA